GUGCUAGAGAAUUUCAAAUCCUUAGCAAAUCCAUGUCAUGAUGAGGGUAAGAACUUUUUGGCCUCCACUCGUGUGCUCAUGUUUGUGUUUGUUCAAUUAGAAAUGUUGUACUUAAAAAGCAUUAAAAAACCAAUUAAAAAAAAGAUGAAUUGCAAUAAUUCGUAUUCUAAUCUGACUAAAGAAGCUUUAAUUUAUGAAUAUGAUAUAUUGAGGCUAAGAACAGCAAUUACUAGAGAGAUUGACUGUAAGAUACUGAAUUUCCAGAUAGAUAAUGAAAUUAGAAGAUAAAAAAAAAAGAGCCAUUGUUCAUCUAACUUUACUGCUAUCAGUUUAUUAUUCUCAGUUCAUAUCUUAAGAAAAUAUUCUGCUAAUCAUUGGAUGAAUUUGAAUCUCCCUAUUAUUAGAAUUGUGAUUCAACUAAUUACACAGUAGAAUUGUGAUUCAACUAAUUACAUAGUACUGUGUAAAUAGUUGAAUCACAGUUCUAAUCACUACUCACUAAUGCUGCCAAUCAUAGUGUCAGCAUGAAUCACUAAAGGCUGGUUUAUAGUCCGACUCCAGCGUGGAGUUACAAGGUCACUAGCCGGCGUUGCAGUUUGAACCUAG
rnacentral:lncRNA from 1 species